rnacentral:rRNA from 1 species
CAGCAGCCGCGGGAAUACGAACCGUGCGAACGUUAUUCGGAAUCACUGGGCUUAAAGCGCGUGUAGGCGGAUGGGAACGUCGGUCGUUGAAAUCCCCCGGCUUAACCGGGGAAGUGGCGCCGAUACGACCCGUCUGGAGGAACGUAGGGGGAGCUGGAACUUCCGGUGGAGCGGUGAAAUGCGUUGAGAUCGGAAGGAACGCCCGUGGCGAAAGCGAGCUCCUGGACGUUUUCUGACGCUGAGACGCGAAAGCCAGGGGAGCGAACGGGAUUAGAGACCCCAGUAGUCCCUGUCUCUUAUA